GACGAACGCUGGCGGCGUGCCUAAUACAUGCAAGUAGAACGCACAGUUUAUACCGUAGCUUGCUACACCAUAGACUGUGAGUUGCGAACGGGUGGGUAACGCGUAGGUAACCUGCCUGGUAGCGGGGGAUAACUAUUGGAAACGAUAGCUAAUACCGCAUAAUAUUGAUUAUUGCAUGAUAAUUGAUUGAAAGAUGCUAUUGCAUCACUACCAGAUGGACCUGCGUUGUAUUAGCUAGUAGGUGAGGUAACGGCUCACCUAGGCGACGAUACAUAGCCGACCUGAGAGGGUGAUCGGCCACACUGGGACUGAGACACGGCCCAGACUCCUACGGGAGGCAGCAGGAGGGAAUCUUCGGCAAUGGACGAAAGUCUGACCGAGCAACGCCGCGUGAGUGAAGAAGGUUUUCGGAUCGUAAAGCUCUGUUGUAAGAGAAGAACGGGUGUGAGAGUGGAAAGUUCACACUGUGACGGUAUCUUACCAGAAAGGGACGGCUAACUACGUG
rnacentral:rRNA from 1 species